rnacentral:rRNA from 1 species
UAGGGAAUCUUCGGCAAUGGACGCAAGACUGACCGAGCAACGCCGCGCGAGUGAAGAAGGUUUUCGGAUCGUAAAACUCUGUUGUUAGAGAAGAACAAGGACGUUAGUAACUGAACUUACCCUGACGGUAUCUAACCAGAAAGCCACGGCUAACUACGUGCCAGCAGCCGCGGUAAUACGUAGGUGGCAAGCGUUGUCCGGAUUUAUUGGGCGUAAAGCGAGCGCAGGCGGUUUCUUAAGUCUGGUGUGAAAGCCCCCGGCUCAACCGGGGAGGGUCAUUGGAAACUGGGAGACUUGAGUGCAGAAGAGGAGAGUGGAAUUCCAUGUGUAGCGGUGAAAUGCGUAGAUAUAUGGAAGAACACCAGUGGCGAAGGCGGCUCUCUGGUCUGUAACUGACGCUGAGGCUUGAAAGCGUGGGGAGCAAACAGG